rfam:Dipodomys ordii contig_65679, whole genome shotgun sequence.
GGUGGCUCAGUGGUAGAGUGCUUGCCUUGCAUGCAUGAGGUCCUAGGUUCGAUUCCUCAGCACCA